CUUCAGCGACCCCAGCCACAGCGGGCUUUGGGGUUCCCGGCCCUGCCCGUAGGUGGCCAGCAGGGCCUCCGCCUC
rnacentral:antisense_RNA from 1 species